rnacentral:rRNA from 1 species
GCAGUCGAGGGGUAUAGGUUUUCGGACCUAGAGACCGGCGCACGGGUGCGUAACGCGUAUGCAAUCUACCUUUUACAGAGGGAUAGCCCAGAGAAAUUUGGAUUAAUACCUCAUAGUAUAGUGGUACCGCAUGGUACUGCUAUUAAAGUCACAACGGUAAAAGAUGAGCAUGCGUCCCAUUAGCUUGUUGGUAAGGUAACGGCUUACCAAGGCGACGAUGGGUAGGGGUCCUGAGAGGGAGAUCCCCCACACUGGUACUGAGACACGGACCAGACUCCUACGGGAGGCAGCAGUGAGGAAUAUUGGUCAAUGGGCGCAAGCCUGAACCAGCCAUGCCGCGUGCAGGAUGAAGCAUCUAUGGUGUGUAAACUGCUUUUGUACGAGAAGAAACACUCCUACUUGUAGGAGCUUGACGGUAUCGUAAGAAUAAGGACCGGCUAACUCCGUGCCAGCAGCCGCGGUAAUACGGAGGGUCCAAGCGUUAUCCGGAAUCAUUGGGUUUAAAGGGUCCGUAGGCGGUUUUGUAAGUCAGUGGUGAAAGCCCAUCGCUCAACGGUGGAACGGCCAUUGAUACUGCAAGACUUGAAUUAUUAGGAAGUAACUAGAAUAUGUAGUGUAGCGGUGAAAUGCUUAGAGAUUACAUGGAAUACCAAUUGCGAAGGCAGGUUACUACUAAUGGAUUGACGCUGAUGGACGAAAGCGUGNGGAGCGAACAGGAUUAGAUACCCUGGUAGUCCACGCCGUANACGAUGGAUACUAGCUGUUCGGAGCAAUCUGAGUGGCUAAGCGAAAGUGAUAAGUAUCCCACCUGGGGAGUACGUUCGCAA